GUUACUCGCAAAGUCUCACAAAACCCUAAGGCGCAAUGAAAGUGAAGGUCAGGCUCAGCACUGACCGAGGCAGGAUCCGUCCGGGUGAGCGAAGCUCUUCUUCCUUUCGUGGGGUAGCAAUGCCUCACGGGGGAGCUCGGCGGCGCACUGCCGGCCCAUCUCGACCGCUUCCCGUCGGCGAGGUGGAGCCAGAGCGCACACGUUGGGACCCGAAAGAUGGUGAACUAUGCUCGGGCAGGACGAAGCCAGAGGAAACUCUGGUGGAGGUCCGUAGCGAUUCUGACGUGCAAAUCGAUCGUCGGACCCGAGUAUAGGGGCGAAAGACUAAUCGAACGUCUAUA
rnacentral:rRNA from 1 species